UACGGAGGGUGCAAGCGUUAUCCGGAUUUACUGGGUUUAAAGGGUGCGUAGGUGGGUUGGUAAGUCAGUGGUGAAAUACUUUCGCUUAACGAAGGAACUGCCAUUGAUACUACCAGUCUUGAAUACAGUGGAGGUAGGCGGAAUGCGUCAUGUAGCGGUGAAAUGCUUAGAUAUGAUGUAGAACACCGAUUGCGAAGGCAGCUCACUAAGCAGACAUUGACGCUGAGGCACGAAAGCGUGGGGAUCAAACAGG
rnacentral:rRNA from 1 species